GACAGAGGGUGCAAACGUUGUUCGGAAUUACUGGGCGUAAAGCGUGUGUAGGUGGCCGCGCAAGUCGGAUGUGAAAGCCCUGGGCUCAACUCAGGAAGUGCACCCGAUACUGCGUGGCUCGAGUACCGGAGAGGUUGGUGGAAUUCUCAGUGUAGAGGUGAAAUUCGUAGAUAUCGAGAGGAACACCUGUGGCGAAGGCGGCCAACUGGACGAGUACUGACACUGAGACACGAAAGCGUGGGGAGCAAACAGG
rnacentral:rRNA from 1 species